UCUUUCUCUAAAUUCAAUCUUGUGGGUAAUGGUUCUUUAUCUGGAUGUGAUAACUAUUUUUGCUUAAUUCGAUUACCUCUUAUAAUGAAACCUUACAUGUGAAUUCAUGAGGUAUUAAGCGUAAAUUAAUUAAUGAGAAUUUCACUUCAUUAUGGUACAAGCAUUUUGGUCGCAUUUCUCGAAAGAGAAUCGAAAAACUUGUAUCAGAAGAAACUCUCGAUCCCCU
rnacentral:lncRNA from 1 species